AGCAGCCGCGGUAAUUCCAGCUCCAAUAGCGUAUAUUAAAGUUGUUGCAGUUAAAAAGCUCGUAGUUGAAUUUCGGGGUCAGUAGAUUGGUCGUGCCUCUGGUAUGUACUGGUCUUACUGGCUCCUCCUUCCUGAUGAACCGUAAUGCCAUUAAUUUGGUGUUGCGGGGAGACUGGACUGUUACUUUGAAAAAAUUAGAGUGUUUAAAGCAGGCUAACGCUUGAAUACAUUAGCAUGGAAUAAUGAAAUAGGACGUUCGAUCUUAUUUUGUUGGUUUCUAAGAUUGACGUAAUGAUUAAUAGGGAUAGUUGGGGGCGAUUAGUAUUCAAUUGUCAGAGGUGAAAUUCUUGGAUUUAUUGAAGACUGACUACUGCGAAAGCAUUUGCCAAGGAUGUUUUCAUUAAUUCAAGAACGAAAGUUAGGGGAUCGAAGACGAUCAGAUACCGUCGUAGUCUUAACCAUAAACUAUGCCGACUAGGGAUCGGAUGAUGUUAAUUUUU
rnacentral:rRNA from 1 species